rnacentral:rRNA from 1 species
AUACGUAGGUGGCAAGCGUUGUCCGGAAUUAUUGGGCGUAAAGCGCGCGCAGGUGGUUCCUUAAGUCUGAUGUGAAAGCCCCCGGCUCAACCGGGGAGGGUCAUUGGAAACUGGGGAACUUGAGUGCAGAAGAGGAUAGUGGAAUUCCAAGCGUAGCGGUGAAAUGCGUAGAGAUUUGGAGGAACACCAGUGGCGAAGGCGACUGUCUGGUCUGUAACUGACACUGAGGCGCGAAAGCGUGGGGAGCAAACAGGAUUAGAUACCCUGGUAGUCCACGCCGUAAACGAUGAGUGCUAAGUGUUGGGGGGUUUCCGCCCCUCAGUGCUGCAGCUAACGCAUUAAGCACUCCGCCUGGGGAGUACGGUCGCAAGACUGAAACUCAAAUGAAUUGACGGGG